rnacentral:rRNA from 1 species
ACGGAAGGCAGCAGUGGGGAAUAUUGGGCAAUGGGCGAAAGCCUGACCCAGCGACGCCGCGUGAAGGAAGACGGUCUUCGGAUUGUAAACUUCUUUUAUGUAGGACGAAGAACGUGACGGUACUACAUGAAUAAGCCACGGCUAACUACGUGCCAGCAGCCGCGGUAAUACGUAGCUGGCGCGUGUUAUCCGGAUUUACUGGGUGUAAAGGGUGUGUAGGCGGGAUUGCAAGUCAGAUGUGAAGAUUAUGGGCUUAACUCAUAACCUGCAUUUGAAACUGUAGUUCUUGAGGGUCGGAGAGGUAACUGGAAUUCCUGGUGUAGCGGUGAAAUGCGUAGAUAUCAGGAGGAACACCGGUGGCGAAGGCGGGUUACUGGACGAUUACUGACGCUGAGACACGAAAGCGUGGGGAGCAAACAGGAUUAGAUACCCUGGUA